CCUGAACCCCCAUGCUCCUGGGCCAUCUGCCUGCUGGUUGUCCUCUGUGACCCCUCUCUCCCUUGAGCUGAGGCACUGGCCUGGUGCCCCGAGAAGGAACAGUGAGGAGGGCCGACUCUCCCUGCUGUGGGGGCCUUGGGGGCCUGGACGGGGACUGCAUCCUCCCUCCCCCGGCUGCCCAGCGCCCUCGCUCAGGGAAUGCUCUUCCAGCAGCCUGUUUCACAGAUGGGCAUGGUCACGACAGCAGCCAGACCCUGUCCUGGGCCGUGCAGCCACCUGGAUGGAUCGGCGCCCUCCUGGACUUACUGGCUCCAUUGAGGGUCCCAAAGGAGCUGCCCCCGAGCACCCUGGGGGACUCCAGACCCCUCAGGCCUUGGCAGCUACCAACAGCCCAGGCAGGACCCAGGGGCUUCUGGGCAAAGAGCAGCCACUCCCUGGCUCGUGAGCCCAGGGCCUCUCCAGCCGUCCCCUGUCGGGGAGCCUCCACCACUCCUGCUCUGGAUCAAGGUCCUGCCCCCAGGGAGAGCUGGUGCCUUCGGGGACCGGGCCCUGGUUGCAGUUGGAGAGUGCGCCCAGAUGCUGGGAUGGUGAUAUCCUUGUCAGGGGUUUGAACAAGGGCCAAAGCCACCUGCAGUCCUUGGCCCAGGAAACAGGCAGCUUUGUGGGCUGCAGUGGGGAUGUCCAAACAGCACGCAGGCGCACCAGGAGCCAGGACGGCUUGGGAUGUGUUUGGGGCAGUCUUCAGUCAGAGACACAGGCUCCCCGGCUCGGAUCUUGAAGGGGCUUCCAGGAUGUGGGUGCCAUUGAACUUGACAUCAAUCAGGUAAACGCCAUUCUCCUGAGUGAUAAAGCACACAGCAUACUUAUCUGAGGAGCAGAGAGCCAUGCUGUGGGCCUGGGGCCCCUCCUCAAACCAGCAAAAUCUGUGAGGAACAGCCUCAACCCUCACCCUUCCCAUUUUGCCGGCCCAUCAGUGAGCCCAGCAGCUCAGUGGGGCCCACUGUUUCUUCUGGUGCCAUGCUGGACACCUGCACCCUGCAGCAGACUUCCUGAGGCCCGAAGCUUUAGAAACUCAAGCCACUCGCUGUCAGGGAUCAUUGGGACAGAAACCUUAGGCAAGCCACACCCAGGCCUCGCUGCCUCCUAAAGGUUACAGUGAACACCAUCUGUGUGUUAACAGGCUCAGAGACAGGCAGGAACUUGCUUCAGGUCAUGCAGCUGGGAAGGGCAGGACUAGGCUGUCAAACAAAGCCCACUGGGCUCCUCCUACCCCCAAGGUUGCCCUGGGCCUAUCUGCAAGUCCUGUGGUUGCAGCUAAAGGGCCGGGCAGCACUGAGGCUGGACUCUGGGUCUGUCCCUGUGGAGAGAGUACUGCAGGCAGGAGGCCUUCCUAAUGGCCAUGACUGA